GCUUCUUGAAUGAACAAGGCACGCAUCUGUGAGUAGAUCAGACUAUCAUUAGGAGUAGAAGAAAGAGGCUACCACAUUAAUAGUACUUCUAGAAAUUUGGUGAAAUUGUGAGGCAAUUUUCAUCAGUGAUGGCAGAAACAAAUGCAAAGACUGGGGGCUAAUUCUCAGGAGCCCAAAGCUGAAAGACUUUAAAAAUUUAAAAGAAAUUUUGGAUUUUUAAAGAGACAGGAUAUUUUGUUAAGGAGACAACUUUUAAUGUGUUUGAAUUGAAAUAACUUGCGACUCUGUAUUCACCACUGGGGUCUACAGCAUGUCAUAGGACUCUCCUCAAGCUGUCUGAUAAUCAUGUUCCCAAUUGAAAUAGCUUCAAGGAAGAAGAUGUGCCCCAAAACUUCCUUAUAUGGUUACCGGCAGGGCUAGAUCCCUUACUGCAGAGCUCUGACUAUAGCAUGUCCAUGCCAACUGGAAGACUUUUUUUUUUUAAGGAGGAAUCAAUCAAAAACUUGAUGUAACAAAGCAUGUUUGAGACUGUUGGAGUAG
rnacentral:lncRNA from 1 species